rnacentral:rRNA from 1 species
AACUUUCAGCAACGGAUCUCUUGGCUCUGGCAUCGAUGAAGAACGCAGCGAAAUGCGAUAAGUAAUGUGAAUCGCAGAAUUCAGUGAAUCAUCGAAUCUUUGAACGCACAUUGCGCCCCUUGGUAUUCCGAGGGGCAUGCCUGUCCGAGCGUCAU